CUGGCGACUGAUGACAUGGCUUGGCAGGAUUGGCUUAUAGGGAAGUACAUUCAUCAAAGGGGGCGGCUUUACAUCAAGGACAAACACAUACAACUGUCACAGCGUAGCCUGGUCAGUCAUAAAACUGUUUUUCAAAGCCUCUCUGAUGUGCAGUGCGCCUAGCUGUGCUCGUCUAAUUGCCUUGGUGUCUGGCUGUUCAAAAUUGGCCUCCAGACGAUUUGCCUCAA